AUUGAACGCUGGCGGCAGGCCUAACACAUGCAAGUCGAACGGUAACAGGAAGAAGCUUGCUUCUUUGCUGACGAGUGGCGGACGGGUGAGUAAUGUCUGGGAAACUGCCUGAUGGAGGGGGAUAACUACUGGAAACGGUAGCUAAUACCGCAUAACGUCGCAAGACCAAAAAGGGGGACCUUCGGGCCUCUUGCCAUCGGAUGUGCCCAGAUGGGAUUAGCUAGUAGGUGGGGUAACGGCUCACCUAGGCGACGAUCCCUAGCUGGUCUGAGAGGAUGACCAGCCACACUGGAACUGAGACACGGUCCAGACUCCUACGGGAGGCAGCAGUGGGGAAUACUGCACAAUGGGCGCAAGCCUGAUGCAGCCAUGCCGCGUGUAUGAAGAAGGCCUUCGGGUUGUAAAGUACUUUCAGCGGGGAGGAAGGGAGUAAAGUUAAUACCUUUGCUCAUUGACGUUACCCGCAGAAGAAGCACCGGCUAACUCCGUG
rnacentral:rRNA from 1 species